UACAGAGGGUGCGAGCGUUAAUCGGAAUUACUGGGCGUAAAGCGCGCGUAGGCGGCUUUGCAAGCCGGGAUGUGAAAUCCCCCGGGCUUAACCUGGGAACUGCAUUCGGGACUGCAUUGCUAGAGUAUGGGAGAGGGAAGUGGAAUUUCAGGUGUAGCGGUGAAAUGCGUAGAUAUCUGAAGGAACAUCAGUGGCGAAAGCGACUUCCUGGACCAAUACUGACGCUCAUGUGCGAAAGCGUGGGGAGCAAACAGG
rnacentral:rRNA from 1 species